GGUACUCCAUUGUCUGGUAAAGUUCAUAUGACUGCAUUCUUUUUGCAAGGGGGGUGGAGGGAGAGCGGGGAAGGAGGGGGUGUCAGCUCAACUGUAAAAGCUGCACAGAUUUUUUUUCUUUCUCUCUCUCUGCCUCUCCAUAGAUUGUUUCUGUUUCAUGCCCUGUCUCAUUUCGCAUAGCUAAAAAAGAAUGCUAAUUAAGAUCCCUUGUCUUAACCUGAAAAAUAAUGACUCGGCUGUAAUUAGAAAUCUGGUGAGAGUUUAAAAAUUCUGGUAGGGGACCAAAAACAUCAGUUACGGUGCUUAGGAAGAAAAUGAAGAAUUAUUUUUCUGAAAUCAAGAUGGAUCUGAGAACGCUGUCUGGGCUUGGUACCAAGAGCUGGUAUUUCACAGCAGCGACCGCCUCACAGACGAGCUGUGGGAAGCAGGAGGGAGACUCUCUCUUAGGGUGCCACUACUAUGGAGACACAGCUGGGCUGAACAAGAUUUGCUUCAAACGACAACAAGAGAGACAGAAAGUAUCUGGUUCAACCGCUGCCCGAGCAGGCAGGCACCAGAAGAGCUAGCAGCCAAUCCGGCCAUGCUCGAAGCCAGCUCUGCAGCUCAGCCAAUCAGUGACAUCAUUGCUUUCUUUAGCUUGCCCAUGGUGAUGUGAAGAUGAGAAGAAAUAGCAAGGCCCAACCAGUUCUUCAUCUGGAGACAGUUCAACGUUCUGCAAACCAGAUCUUCAGGAAUUUUACUGGGAUAAUUAUCCAAAUAAAUUGCAAGCAUUCUAUCCAAAUGGAGCUCUUUCUGAGAUGAAGAGAAUUCUCAAUGUCAAGAUUUGAACAAGAAGAGAAUGGAAUACACAAUAUGGACAUCCAUAAAAAUUCAUCAGAGAGCAUUUUACUACUGAGCUGCAAAGGUAAAAAUAAAAAACAAAGAGCAAAUAAGAUUUACUGUUUUUAAAGAAAAACAACAUUCUUUUGACUGUGUUUUGUUAUAAGAAUUAAUUUCAUAUUCUUUAUGAGUGUAACUGUUGAAAUUUUAUUGAUGGUUUUCAUUUGAAAAUGUGUGCUAUGACCUACCUUUGUGAAAAAUUUCUUGUGGUCAAUUGGGCAGUUUGUGUCCCAUUGAAUAUAUGUCUGUGUAUCCAUACGCUUAAGAUAGGUGCAAUACGGUUUACUAGAAAGCUUUAUAGGAAAAGAAAAAAAUUAUAUUUUCUUAUUUGUUGUACCAUAUAAAAGGAAGUGAAAUCAGGAGGAGGGGAAUAAGGUCAUGCUUUUUCAUCUUUUUUACAUGACCUGAUAAGACAAUGAAACCAAAACAUGCUUUCUUAUAGUUAUGGUAAAACUAAACCCAAUGCUGCCUCUUAUUUCACAUUUGCAUUUAUAAAUAUAUGUUGAAAUAUUUUUACUACAACUGAAUGUAUGAUUGUUGAUUAUUUACUAUAGUUUUUAAUAAUUAUGAGGACAAUUUAAGAAUAAAUAAUGGUUUAAAAUUAUGUAGAACACAUGAUCUAUAUAAAGGCUAUAAAACGUAUUUAUUUCAAAAUAUGCAAAAUCACUAAGCAAUUAGUAUGUAGUAUUAUUUUACACAAUAAAGAUAUAAUUAGGAAAUGCUAAGUGAUUAUAGAUGUGAAAUGAUUAAUGAUUGUACAACUUAUCAUUUUGUUGCAGUUGAGUUUACAAUCUUAAAAAAACGUGUAUGUGGCUGGCUUUAUGUUUACUCGUUUGUGUGUUUGCUUGUUGUCUGGUGGUUUAAAACAUUUUUUAGUAAUAUUUUAUUUUUGCCCAACCUGUUGACCAGAUGAGAGUUGUAUGUAGCCAUGCAUUUUAAGUGUAUCUUUUUUGAACAAUAAGUUUAAAUAUAUUUUAUUUAGGAAAGAAGAUAUCCUAUGUCAUGUAAUACAUCUGGAGUAUAAAUGUUAGUGUGGAGUAUUAGUAAUCAUGCCAUUAUCGUGCCAUUUAGUUUAGUUUUAUAUUAACUCAUCCAAAUAUUGUAAAUUUUAGCACCAUUCCGACUAUAGACACAGAUGUAUAUAUUUAAGGCUGAUAAUAACUUCCUGUAUUCUCUAGCUAGUGAACAAGAUCUUACUGUUUUAUGAGAAAGUUAUAAUGUUACCAAUUCCUUGAAACCAGUAACUAAACUAGUUUUAUAAAAAUUAAAAUAAGCACGGUCUAACUCAUACACAAUUAACUUAAUAGUUAAUUUGGUUUUAAUUAUAGGCUCGUAAUACUACAUUCAUGCCUCACAAUUAUAUAAUUCAUACAUGCAUGUAUGGAUUCUUUUUUCUUUUAAAACUCAAUUAGAAUAGUUUAAUUCCAAAAUAUUUACUAUUGAAACAAAAGCAGUUCGUGAAAAAUUUUUCAAUAAACUACUUUUUAAAUUCUCAUGCAUAUAAAUUUGUAUUUAGUUUUGAAUAUUUAUGAAGGCCUUUAAUGGAGAAUAUGCAUCCUUAGAACUCAGCAUUUAAAACAUUUAUACUAAAGGAUCAAUAUUAUUUUUGACUCUUAAUUGCAUCAGAUAUUUACAACAAAUUCUAUAUUAAUAGGGGGCCCAUGCAAGAUGUUGCCCAUUGGCAUAAACCCGUAGAUCCGAUCUUGUGGUGAAGUGGACCGCACAAGCUCGCUUCUAUGGGUCUGUGUCAGUGUGGUAAUCUGACAAAAUGCUAUACACAGUGCCGUUCAACAAUAGUUCAGUAAAAUCCUGUUAAACUCCAGUUGAUUAUAUACUUUUGAAGUCAUUAUAUUUUCCUUUGUUUUUAAUGUUUAUUUUAAUCAUUGUCUGUCUUACAAGGCAGGCUUCAAUUCUCAACAACUUGGAAGCGUUUAUAUCACACCCAUUCAAGUUCGAUUCCAUGUACAGUAAAUUGCAUAAGAAAGUUGAACCUUUAUAGCAGGGUUUGGACCAGGAUCUGAAUAGAUUCUGUUCAGAAACUUCAGUGCAUACUGUAGUGCUUAGUGUACCUCUUCAACUUCAGUAAGAAAAUUAAAGACUACCAUUGGAUUUAUAUGUUUUUAUUGAGCCUAUUUCUCCUGAAAAAAUGAGGCUGAAUGCAAUUGACUUUUACUAUUAAUUGCGACUAGAACUAUGGCAGGUUAGAUGGUCAGAAGACAUUUUACGUGACCUAUGCUGGAAACCCAAGUGUUUAGGUUAGUCCUAUGAGAAACAGUUAGCAGCAAAGUUUACUGGUAAAAUGUUAGAAUAUUAUAUCUAUAUCCUUGCCAAGCCCUUAGGUGUAUGGCUGCCAUAUUUGGAGGAGCUGACUGAAGAUAUGAUAAGGAGUUUGAAGCAACAUUGGAAGCUGUGUGCAUCCGGGUUGAGGUAGUAGGUUGUAUGGUUUAGAGUUACACCCUGGGAGUUAACUGUACAACCUUCUAGCUUUCCUUGGAGCACACUUGAGCCGUCGAGGAAUUCUUCAUCACUUUAACCUGAUUGAGCCAAUUUGUGUGCAAGAAGGUAAU
rnacentral:lncRNA from 1 species